rnacentral:rRNA from 1 species
UACGUAGGGACCGAGCGUUGUCCGGAUUCAUUGGGCGUAAAGAGCUCGUAGGCGGCCACUCAAGUCGAAUGUGAAACCUCGAGGCUUAACCUCGAGCCUGCAUUCGAUACUGGGCAGCUAGAGUCUGGUAGGGGGAUCUGGAAUUCCUGGUGUAGCGGUGGAAUGCGCAGAUAUCAGGAGGAACACCGGUGGCGAAGGCGGGAUCCUGGGCCAGUACUGACGCUGAGGAGCGAAAGCGUGGGGAGCAAACAGG